GUCAUCAACUUGAUUAAAAUUGCUGAGGCACGGAGAAGAUAUGAAGGCUACCGAUACAUCAGCAGGCACCAUAUCUUUUGGGCAGUUGGUUUGACAGGAGUUAAGGGCUUUGUUGAGAAGCUUAUUAUUGGUAUAAGAUUGCAGAAUUUAGUUGAAGAACCUGCCGCAUAUCCCCGUACAACUUGUACAUGUCAACUCGGACUAUAGCAAAUAUUAUUGGUGAUGAGAUUGUUGGAGUUGAGCAUUUGAUUGUUACCAUUGCUUUUGAAGCGAAUCAGAGAAGGCUGGAUGAGAAGGCAGAUGUUUCUCCACCUCUUGUUGCAGAUGGUAGUGAAUGGAAAGAGUUCGAAAGCAAGAAACGUGUUCAAGCAUUUUUAAAUGCUAUGAAAAGGUAUAAAAGAAAAUCUGGAG